AUUGAACGCUGGCGGCAGGCCUAACACAUGCAAGUCGAGCGAGCGGCGGACGGGUGAGUAAUGUAUGGGGACUGCCCGAUAGAGGGGGAUAACUACUGGAAACGGUAGCUAAUACCCCAUACUAUCGGAUAACCCAUAUGGGAUGAGCUAGUAGGUGAGGUAAUGGCGCACCUAGGCGACGAUCCCUAGCUGGUCUGAGAGGAUGAUCAGUCACACUGGGACUGAGACACGGCCCAGACUCCUACGGAGGCAGCAGGGGGGAAUAUUGCACAAUGGGCGAAAGCCUGAUGCAGCCAUGCAGCGUGUAUGAAGAAGGCCGUAGGAUUGUAAAGUACUUUCAGUAGGGAAGCGUUACCGACAGAAGAAGCACCGGCUAACUCCGUGCCAGCAGCCGCGGUAAUUC
rnacentral:rRNA from 1 species